rnacentral:rRNA from 1 species
UACGUAGGGUGCGAGCGUUAAUCGGAAUUACUGGGCGUAAAGCGUGCGUAGGUGGUUCGUUGUGUCUGUGGUGAAAGCCCCGGGCUUAACCUGGGAAUGGCCAUGGAAACUGGCGAGCUGGAGUCUGGCAGAGGGGGGUGGAAUUCCGCGUGUAGCAGUGAAAUGCGUAGAGAUGCGGAGGAACACCGGUGGCGAAGGCGGCAUCCUGGACCGACACUGACGCUGAGGAGCGAAAGCCAGGGGAGCAAACGGG